rnacentral:rRNA from 1 species
UACAGAGGGUGCGAGCGUUGUCCGGAAUCACUGGGCGUAAAGGGCGCGUAGGUGGCGCUCCAAGGCUGUGGUGAAAGCUCGAUGCUCAACAUCGAGUCGGCCAUAGAGACUGGAGGGCUCGAGCACUGUAGGGGCAGAUGGAAUUCCGGGUGUAGCGGUGGAAUGCGUAGAGAUCCGGAAGAACACCGGUGGCGAAGGCGGUCUGCUGGGCAGUUGCUGACGCUGAUGCGCGAAAGCGUGGGGAGCAAACAGG